UCUCAGAAAGUAUAGGCUAAUUUUUUGACUUAAAUUUGGGAAUAAAAAAAAUUCAGAACCCAAAAAAUCAAAACAAUGAUCUCAAGAACAAAAACUCAAAUACUGUUGCAUUGAGUGCUUUCAAAGUGAUUUGAAAGGAUCUUUGGGUUUAAAUUCCGGUUGAAAGGGUAUAUUUGAAUUUUAAUUUGGUUUGUAUACUGGCUGUUGUUGUUGGGAUUCGAAGUUAGGAUUCCGUGCUAUUGUCAUUUGCUAUAUCCAUUGCUAUUUGAUUGUCUCCUUAUCCUAGUUUCUAUCUCAAUUUCCAGGUACAAAUUCUAACUCUUCAAGAUGUAAAGUUGAUUCGAAGAUGGAAUGAAAAGCAUUUGCUCAGUUCUUGUUUAUUAGUUUCAUUUAUUUUAGCAUUUCUUUUGUGUUAUAUAUUUAGAUACUGGACACUUGAUCUGAAUAAGGUAGAAUAGCCUGAUUAUGUCCUUAUAAUGUAUUUUUAAGCUGGGCCAUUGGACUGUUAGAAGUCAUGAUGGUCUUAUUAUGUAGUGUUGAUGGUAUGUAUUUAAAUUUGAGGGUCACUCACAUCCAAUUUGGGAUUCAUAACUCAUACUGUAUAUGAUGCAUGUUGAAAUUUGCUGCAUUAACUGUAUUGAAGUUGAUAUUUAGUGUAUAUUUGAAUGGAAG
rnacentral:lncRNA from 1 species